CUUAAAAUACGUUAUGUAGGACAUAAACUAAACAAUAACAUAUCUUUCUUAGUAUAUACAAUCCGAAAAGAAAAACAAACAAUCAGAUAAUGACUAAAACCUCAGGAUAUGAGCGUGGAAGGGUGUUGGGUGGUUGUUGUGGUGCGCUGUCGCUGAGGUGAUACCUGGGAAACAGGCAGCUGGUGUCUUUCUUGUAUCCUGGGCCGUACACAAACAACGCUCGUUGCCGUGGGCGUGUACCGGCACUCGAUGAUUGACGCACUUCCACUCCACCCUCCUUCCGCCGUCUCUGAAAGCUGUUAGGCGAAUCCCACAGGUCUCCAUUCAUUACAAGACUGCAGUGCUGCACCAUAAGAAGUGUAUUUCUCUUGGGUUUCACUCCAGCCACAGAACGGGGAAUCUGAAAAGCCACAGACACGGUCAUGGUCCACAGAAACUUUAACAGGUAGAAAUAUCAGUACCCAUGAGACCGCAAACGCAACAAUGGCACCACAUGAGAAGCCGCAGUGCCCACUGGACCACCCCGAAAUCCUGUCCAGAAGCUAUAGGAUGUCGUGAAAGAUGGCUUCCUCUUAUGUUCUGAGAUAUCUUAUUCUCA
ensembl:lncRNA